CCACGGGGGGCAGCAGUAGGGAAUCUUCCACAAUGGACGAAAGUCUGAUGGAGCAACGCCGCGUGAGUGAAGAAGGGUUUCGGCUCGUAAAGCUCUGUUGGUAGUGGAGAAAGAUAGAGGUAGUAACUGGCCUUUAUUUGACGGUAAUUACUUAGAAAGUCACGGCUAACUACGUGCAGGCAGCCGCGGUAAUACAUAGGUGGCAAUCGUUGUCCGGAUUUAUUUGGCGUAAAGCGAGUGCAGGCGGUUCAAUAAGUCUGAUGUGAAAGCCUUCGGCUCAACCGGAGAAUUGCAUCAGAAACUGUUGAACUUGAGUGCAGAAGAGGAGAGUGGAACUCCAUGUGUAGCGGUGGAAUGCGUAGAUAUAUGGAAGAACACCAGUGGCGAAGGCGGCUCUCUGGUCUGCAACUGACGCUGAGGCUCGAAAGCAUGGGUAGCGAACAGGAUUAGAUACCCUAGUAGUC
rnacentral:rRNA from 1 species